UAUUUACCGAAGAACCCUAUAAAUUUGAACAGCACUGACAACUGUAAGAGGUAAACAACCAUUUUUUCAAACGUUCAAUGAGUGUGACACUCCAAAACAAAUGAAUCCCCAAAUCCCAAAUAUGGGAGAGCUCUAUACGAUUGACUGCUGUUUUUUCCCCGAAAAUUUCUUCAAGGUCAAAAAUUAAAUAGCACUAAAUAGAAGAAAAAAACCCACCAAAGAAAAUUAUGAACUAAUUUUGACCACACCUGUAAUUCAAUGUUU